ACUGAUUGUUUUGCAUGGACACUGAUUUCUUAUUUCUCUUGCAGGGUUACUAAAAUGCGGUCUCUACCUUGUGUUGGACAAACUUGAACUCCAGUUCUACCGGAGAUUAGUGAAGAAAAUCCAUAUCAUCCAGAGGGAGAAGGAACCAUCUAAGGCGCAUCAAAUCAAGCUAGAGGUCUCUGCAACCAUUUUAGUCGAGUAGCAGUUUUGCGAAAGGUUUCCCAAAGAUGCACUACUUGAUGGAGAUUUGGAUGAUCUACAAGCUACUGAAGGUUUGCAAGAUCUACUGUUAAGUUGGUGGAGUGAUAAUGUAAUGCGCCUUGUUUGUUGAACCUGGAGACAUUGGGAAGUUCAGCUCAU